AGAGUUUGAUCCUGGCACAGGACGAACGCUGGCGGCAUGCCUAAUACAUGCAAGUCGAGCGAACAGAUGAAGUGCUUGCACUUCUGAUGUUAGCGGCGAACGGGUGAGUAACACUUAAGGGAUCUACCUAUAAGCGGGGGAUAACAUUCGAAAAGGGGUGCUAAUGCCGCAUAAUAUUUUCUUCCGCAUGGAAGAAAAUUGAAAGACGGCCUCUGCUGUACACUUAUAGAGGGCCUAUGCGGGUGCAUUAGUUCGUUGGUGGGGUAAUGCCCUACCCAAGACGAUGAUGCAUAGCCGACCGUGAGAGGGUGAUCGACCACAUUGGGACUGAGACACGGCCCAAAAUCCUACGGGAGGCAGCAGUAGGGAAUCAUCCGCAAUGGGCGAAAGCCUGAAGGAGCAAUGCCGCGUGAGUGAAGAAGCCCUUCGGGUCGUAAAACUCUGUUAUAAGAGAAGAACAAAUUGUAGAGUAGCUGCUACAGUGUUGACGGUAUCUUAUCAGAAAGCCACGGCUAACUACGUGCCAGCAGCCCGGGUAAUACGUAGGUGGCAAGCGUUGUCCGGAUUUAUUGGGCGUAAAGGGAGCGCAAGUGGUUUCUUAAGUCUGUUGUGAAAGCCCACGGCUUAACCGUGGAGGGUCAUUGGAAACUGGGAAACUUGAGUACAGAAGAGGAAUGUGGAACUCCAUGUGUAGCGGUGG
rnacentral:rRNA from 1 species